UACGGGGGGGGCAAGCGUUGUUCGGAAUUACUGGGCGUAAAGAGCGUGUAGGCGGCCAUACAGGUCCGUUGUGAAAACUGGAGGCUUAACCUCCAGACGUCGAUGGAAACCGUAUGGCUAGAGUCCGGAAGAGGAGAGUGGAAUUCCUGGUGUAGCGGUGAAAUGCGCAGAUAUCUGGAAGAACACCGGUGGCGAAGGCGGUCAACUGGCCCUCAACUGACGCUGAGGCACGAAAGCGUGGGGAUCAAACAGG
rnacentral:rRNA from 1 species